rnacentral:rRNA from 1 species
GUAGGAUCCGAGCGUUAUCCGAAUUUACUGGGCGUAAAGCGCGUGUAGGCGGCCGGGUAAGUUGGACGUGAAAGCUCCUGGCUCAACUAGGAGAGGUCGUUCAAAACUGCCUGGCUAGAGGGCGACAGAGGGAGGUGGAAUUCCCGGUGUAGUGGUGAAAUGCGUAGAUAUCGGGAGGAACACCAGUGGCGAAGGCGGCCUCCUGGGUCGCACCUGACGCUCAGACGCGAAAGCUAGGGGAGCGAACGGGAUUAGAUACCCCGGGUAGUCCUAGCUGUAAACGAUGUGGACUUGGCGUUGGUGGGGUCAAAUCCCAUCAGUGCCGUAGCUAACGCGAUAAGUCCACCGCCUGGGGACUACGGUCGCAAGGCUA